rnacentral:rRNA from 1 species
UACGGGGGGAGCAAGCGUUGUUCGGAUUUACUGGGCGUAAAGGGCGCGUAGGCGGCCAGCACAAGUCAGUUGUGAAAUCUCCGGGCUUAACUCGGAAAGGUCAACUGAUACUGUGCGGCUAGAGUGCAGAAGGGGCAACUGGAAUUCUCGGUGUAGCGGUGAAAUGCGUAGAUAUCGAGAGGAACACCUGCGGCGAAGGCGGGUUGCUGGGCUGACACUGACGCUGAGGUGCGAAAGCGUGGGGAGCAAACAGG